CAGGAACGCUGGCGGCAGGCUUAACACAUGCAAGUCGAGCGCCCCGCAAGGGGAGCGGCAGACGGGUGAGUAACGCGUGGGAAUCUACCCAUCUCUACGGAAUAACGCAUGGAAACGUGUGCUAAUACCGUAUACGUCCUUCGGGAGAAAGAUUUAUCGGAGAUGGAUGAGCCCGCGUUGGAUUAGCUAGUUGGUGGGGUAAAGGCCUACCAAGGCGACGAUCCAUAGCUGGUCUGAGAGGAUGAUCAGCCACACUGGGACUGAGACACGGCCCAGACUCCUGCGGUAGGCAGCAGUGGGGAAUAUUGGACAAUGGGCGCAAGCCUGAUCCAGCCAUGCCGCGUGAGUGAUGAAGGCCCUAGGGUUGUAAAGCUCUUUCACCGGUGAAGAUAAUGACGGUAACCGGAGAAGAAGCCCCGGCUAACUUCGUGCCAGCCGCCGCGGUAACAC
rnacentral:rRNA from 1 species